rnacentral:rRNA from 1 species
UACAGAGGGUGCGAGCGUUAAUCGGAAUUACUGGGCGUAAAGCGUGCGCAGGCGGUGAUGUAAGACCGAUGUGAAAUCCCCGGGCUUAACCUGGGAACUGCAUUGGUGACUGCAUCGCUCGAGUAUGGCAGAGGGGGGUAGAAUUCCACGUGUAGCAGUGAAAUGCGUAGAGAUGUGGAGGAAUACCGAUGGCGAAGGCAGCCCCCUGGGUCAAUACUGACGCUCAUGCACGAAAGCGUGGGGAGCAAACAGG